AGUGGAAUUGCUGGGUCAUGUGGUAACCCUAUGUUUAACCUUUUGAGGAAUUGCCAAACUGUUUUCCAAAGGUACUGCACCAUUUUACAGUCCUAUCAGCAGU
rnacentral:pre_miRNA from 1 species